GGGGCUGUAGUCUAGCAGCAGCUUCACAUGAUGUGAACUGCUAGAAAGGUAUGACGACUGUAAGCGGCUUAAGCAGCCACCACCGUUAAGGGCUCCAGGAGCGUUGAGGAAACCCGUGGGUCGCCGGUUCAAGUCCGGCCAGCCCCACCA
rnacentral:tRNA from 1 species